AGUGAACGCUGGCGGUAGGCCUAACACAUGCAAGUCGAACGGCAGCACAGUAAGAGCUUGCUCUUACGGGUGGCGAGUGGCGGACGGGUGAGGAAUACAUCGGAAUCUACUUUUUCUUGGGGGAUAACGUAGGGAAACUUACGCUAAUACCGCAUACUACCUACGGGUGAAAGCAGGGGAUCUUCGGACCUUGCGCGAUUGAAUGAGCCGAUGUCGGAUUAGCUAGUUGGCGAGGUAAAGGCCCACCAAGGCGACGAUCCGUAGCUGGUCUGAGAGGAUGAUCAGCCACACUGGAACUGAGACACGGUCCAGACUCCUACGGGAGGCAGCAGUGGGGAAUAUUCGACAAUGGGCGAAAGCCUGAUGCAGCAAUACCGCGUGGGUGAAGAAGGCCUUCGGGUUGUAAAGCUCUUUUGUUGAGAAAGAAAAGAAGCAGGUUAAUCCCCCGACGUUCUGACGGUACCCAAAGAAUAAGCACCGGCUAACUUCGUG
rnacentral:rRNA from 1 species